ACUAACGAUCACUACUCACGGUAAGCCGGGUUCUUAGUUGAUCC
rnacentral:rRNA from 1 species